GACGGAGGAUGCAAGUGUUAUCCGGAAUCACUGGGCGUAAAGCGUCUGUAGGUGGUCAAAUAAGUCAACUGUUAAAUCUUGAGGCUCAACCUCAAAAUCGCAGUCGAAACUAUUAGACUAGAGUAUAGUAGGGGUAAAGGGAAUUUCCAGUGGAGCGGUGAAAUGCGUAGAGAUUGGAAAGAACACCGAUGGCGAAGGCACUCUGCUAGGCCUGAUUUCGCGACUGACACUCAGGGACGAGAGCCAGGGGAGCGAAUGGG
rnacentral:rRNA from 1 species